UUAUUUAUUUAUUUAUAUUUUGAUUUGGCACUCCUGUGACUCCAUAGGACUGCAGUCCAUCAUCUGUAGGAUCUAAAUAAACUUGAAUCCAACACGUCCUGGAAACUCUCAGCCUGACAGAGUGGCUUUGUUGAUCUGCUGCUCAAAGCCUCAAAGAUGUUCAAAUAUUAGGAAGUUUGGCCUUCCUCCAUACUGGACUGUGCAGGAGUGAAAACUAGAGCUGGAAGGAUCCAUCGAUGAUUAUAAAGGAUUACAGAUAAACAUUCAGCUUCACUGUGUUUGGAUUGAAAAGUGGACAAAGAAGUAGAAAUAGUGAGAAAUAAAGAGGAAGUUUGGAUCCAUUCAUGCAGAAAAGCAUCCGGUCCACAGAGCCGAGCGACACGAGGCGGCGUCAGCACGAAAUCGGUACGAGUUCAGGUUGAGUUCAAGGACAGGAAAGUUCAGAGUCAAGUAGAAGAGAGCACGACAGCAGACAGAAAAUGACCAUAAAAAGAAACAAAAUGACCAUAGAAAGACUCAAAAUGACCAUAAAAAGACUCAAAAUGACCUUAAAAAGUCACAAAAUGACCAUAGAAAGACUCAAUUACCUUAAAAAGACAGAAAAUGACCAUAAAAAGACACAAAAUGAUGACAGACACACUAAAACUACCACAAAAUAUGCAAUACGAUCACAUAGAGACACAAAACAACCAUAAAGACACAAUAUGACCUUUAGAAGACGCCACAUAUCAACAAAGAGCUGUAAACUAUUAAAAAUAGAUGCAAAACAUCCACAGACAUCAAAAGAAAACAAAGAUCUGCAAAAUGACCCACUGACACAAAAUACUCAUAAAGAGUCAUUAACUAGUGUAAAACAACAAAAUACUGUAAAAUGACACACAAAACGAAACACAAAGAGGCAAAAAUUCUGACCAAGGGCCAUAAAUUACUGCAAAAAGAUGCAAAAUGUCCAAAACAAGUUGCAAAACUGCCAUAAAAAGGCACAAAAUGAGAGCUCCAAAACAACAAACACCCAAUUAAAUGACCACAAAGAGACGCAAAAUGACCACAAAGAGACGCAAAAUGACCACAAAGAGACGCAAAAUGACCACAAAGAGACGCAAAAUGACCACAAGGAGACGUAAAAUGACCACAAAGAGACGUAAAAUGACCACAAAGAGACGCAAAAUGACCACAAAGAGACGCAAAAUGACCACAAGGAGACGCAAAAUGACCACAAGGAGACGUAAAAUGACCACAAAGAGACGUAAAAUGACCACAAAGAGACGUAAAAUGACCACAAAGAGACAUAAAAUGAUUAUACAGAGAACCAAAAAGCCCACAGUUCUGUCUGCUUGGUUCCAUGUCUGCUGCUCAUAUCUAACAUUCAGCCCUGAAUAAAACCAUCAGUCCAUCCCUAGAAAGAACUUCUCCUGUGUUUUCCUCACACUCUAACAUACACACAGUGAGUUUAACACGUGUCAGGAAGCACAUACAUGUAGGUCACAGCUCAUCACAGCGGAUGAACCCACUGACAGUGACGAGCUGAGUUCUCACUGAGUGGAUGCUGAAGGUCACUGAAAGUGGAAACAACACAAACCCGUCUGUUAAGGUCUUUAUUCCUGAUAUAACUGCAAAUACGCGUUUAAAAAAAUAAAAAAGCCAACAUGGGAGGGGCUGUCAGGCUACCCAUCUAUGAAAUUACAGUUUAAAUAUUUUUAAAAUCGCAUUAUUGAAUGUGUAGAAGGCUUUAUUUCAACAAUGUCUUUGUUUUCUGUGUUCUAUUAGGGACCCUCACAUUCUGCUGUAUUACUGUAGAAACACCACAAACACUUUCUGUCCGUUAGCAUUAGCACUGCUAGCCUGCUAGCUGGCUUCCAGAGCUGCUAGUGUGACUCAUUUUAAUAUUCCUGGACAGCAGAGGGACACGGUGUCUUCACUAAACUAUUGGUGCUGUUAAAUGUCCAUCCAUCUGCAGGAAUCAGAGAAAACCGAGUGAGAGAGUUUAGGUAGAUGUUGUGGAUGAAGAUGGAGGUAGAUGUUGUGGAUGAAGGUGGAGGUAGAUGUUGUGGAUGAAGGUGGAGGUAGAUGUGGUGGAUGAAGAUGGAGGUAGAUGUUGUGGAUGAAGAUGGAGGUAGAUGUUGUGGAUGAAGGUGGAGGUAGAUGUUGUGGAUGAUGGUGGAGGUAGAUGUUGUGGAUGAAGGUGGAGGUAGAUGUUGUGGAUGAAGGUGGAGGUAGAUGUUGUGGAUGAUGGUGGAGGUAGAUGUUGUGGAUGAAGGUGGAGGUAGAUGUUGUGGAUGAUGAUGGAGGUAGAUGUUGUGGAUGAAGGUGGAGGUAGAUGUUGUGGAUGAAGGUGGAGGUAGAUGUUGUGGAUGAAGGUGGAGGUAGAUGUUGUGGAUGAUGAUGGAGGUAGAUGUUGUGGAUGAUGAUGGAGGUAGAUGUUGUGGAUGAAGAUGGAGGUAGAUGUUGUGGAUGAUGAUGGAGGUAGAUGUUGUGGAUGAAGAUGGAGGUAGAUGUUGUGGAUGAUGAUGGAGGUAGAUGUUGUGGAUGAUGAUGGAGGUAGAUGUUGUGGAUGAAGAUGGAGGUAGAUGUUGUGGAUGAUGAUGGAGGUAGAUGUUGUGGUUGAAGGUGGAGGUAGAUGUGGUGGAUGAUGAUGGAGGUAGAUGUUGUGGAUGAUGAUGGAGGUAGAUGUUGUGGAUGAUGAUGGAGGUAGAUGUUGUGAAUGAAGGUGGAGGUAGAUGUUGUGGUUGAA